CCUCCAGUUCUACACCCUUCGUUUCCAUCAGAGCCCGUCAUUUCCCUCCCUGCCCACCGGAAGCUCCCUUGGUCUCUGCUGUAGGAUGUCCUGUUUUCCUCUCUGCAUCCCCCGCCACUGAAUCGUGGGCACCGUGAAGCUUUCUCCCAACUCCUGCUGCCCUAGAGAAAUGGAAGAGUAGGUAGAGGUGGGAAAUGGAAAAACCAAAGCAGACACAGAGGAGAGAGGCAUUGGCGGACUCAAAGAAGAAAGAGAAGCAACAGAAGGCAGAAUCAAGAGGCCAGACAGACAAAAGGAGAGGAACCAGUGUCUUCUGUAAGUGUUCAUGGGGGUUUAUGGACACUAAGCAGUAAAGGCAAACUUCCAGAAGUUGUUUGCCCACCAUGGCAAUGAGAAGACUGUGGCUAUCAUUAGGUCCCCUUCAGAAUGUCUGGAGGUGAAUUUAAAUCGUCAACAUUGUUUCCAAAAGUUGCAUUUGCUGGGACUCCUCUAGUUUUGCCUAGAGUUGGGUAUACCAGUCUUCCAUGAACCCCUGCUGUUCCAGGAACCGUGUGUCUGUGGAUUGGGUUAGCCCUGGUCCUCAGAGAGCUGCCUGGAAGAUGCAAAGCUGAUGACCCAGCUCCAUCACACCUAACGCUUCUGCUCAGAUUCUCCAGGGAGCCCUCCAGAGGCAGCGUGAUGGAAGCCACCAGGUUCUGCAGUGAACUAGACUGGUUUGGGGCCUUGCCCCAGGAAGAUCAGCCCUCACUCUGCAAAAGACCAAUGGUGGGGGUGAGUUGGGAGAAUUGUAGGAAAAACAAGGGCAAGAAGGAAAGCUUGCUUUUCUGGGACUGUCCUUGCUCAGUGUUUGGAAGAGUCUGAAAUCCACAAAAAGCAGUAAGGCUCACAACAGUCCUGACUGUGGCUGGUUGAGGGUCAGAGCAGUUGCUUUAAAUUCAUGGCUGCCUCUUUUUCUCUCCUGGGUCUCUAUUUUUUUUUUUUUUUUCUGGUGUUGUUUGCUUUCACGUUCUUCUUUUUUUUCAGAGUAUUCAUAUCUUCCCCCCUCUUCUUUUUCAUUCUCAAUUCUCCUUCCCACCCCACUCUGCCUUCUUAGCAUAAUUUUUCUUUUGGCUUUCCUUGUUCUACAUCUGGAUUCCCGGAUGGUUUAUUUUGUCUCUUUCCUGAAAUUUCCCUCCUCUCCCAUUUCUUAUAGUUUGUUGUUGUUGUUGUUCCUUUUCCUUCGGCUUCAGUUCUGUCCACUAAAGCUUUCCUUGGGCCACACAGGCUUUUAAUUCUUGUUCAUCUGUUUAAGCAGUGCUGGCAAGAAGCAGGCCACAGCCGGCAGGCAGAGCCACGGUGGCAGAAGAGGACCCGGGCGUCUGAAGAUUCUCCCCCAGCCCCGGGGUCCUUGGAAGAGGGGCUUCCUUCUGGAGAGUGGGCUGGGACAGUGCUGUUCUCCCUCUGUGCGGCUUGACGUCGUCUGCCAGGCCUGGGCUGAAGGUUGGGGGCAGAUGGUGUUUCCUCCACGGUGUGUGGGCCUGGGCCCCAUUGCUCAGGGAGGCGAUGGAAUCAGCCCUUCUCAGUGGACAGGUGGAGGACUCAUCAGGUUCCACCCAGAAAGGCUGAGGCUCAGGGGAGGUGCCCCAGGGGGAAUGUAUCACUUGCCAAGCUCUGUGCUGUAGGUGGGAGGCCUUGCAGCAUGGGGGCUGCCUCUGGGGGAAGUCUGGGGAUCCUUUUUGAUCCUCGGUCUCUGGCCGAAGCCAGCCUGGGCAUCUGGAGCUGUCUGCUGGGGAGACUGAGGCAGUUUUCCGGUGGAAGGUCCUUCCUUCCCAACAGCCCCCACCCCUGGCCAGUGGGCGUUUUGAGGGCCCAGGAAGAAUGCAAGAAGAGGCUGGUAGCUGCGAGGUGUCUCAAAGGCUCCUGGCCACUGGGGGCGGCACAGACCCCAUCUGCGGGAGGCCCUGAGGGUCAGGUCUGGUGCCGAUAGAAGCAGGUGGUACUUCCUGACGGGUGCGGUGGCGGAGAAAUCCUAGAAGUUGCAGCCACACCCCUCCUUGUCUGGCGUGGCGUGGGAGGCGGUGGGAGCAGCCUGCCCUGCUGCCCAGCUGUCUGAGGCAAAUCAACUGCAGUCCAUCUGGCUGUACUCCGCGGCCCAGGCUGGCUUCCCACCCGGGGCCGUCAAUGCCAUUGGGUGCUGGCUGAGUCCUUAGCGGGCCCAGCUGAGGGGCGGAUGUGUCACUGCUCCGUCAGGGGCACACCUGCAGCUGAGUUGCACCCUGGGGUGGAGGGGCCCAAGAGCGCCAGGUGGACGCCCAUUGGGCUGCGCUGCCCUUGCCCAGGCCCUGUGGUGAUGGUGGCCACGUGCUUCUCUGGAAGCACCAUCAAGUUCCCCUCGCCUUCUCCACACCCUGCCACCUUGCCGAGUCCCGUCCACUUCCUCCUCCUUCAUCCAUGCACAGCCUUCGGGGCCACUUUACAAAGGACUGUUGAUUAUAUCAAAGCUUUGCUUAUUUUAUAUUUUGCUUAUCAUUUCCUUAUGUUUUCUAAGCCUCUAGUCCUAGAGUCCAACUCUUGGGUCUAGCACCCCUCAAGACCCUAGAACCAGAGCCCCAGGAGCCCCCAGGCCCUGAUUCCUGGGCCCCGUAGAAUUGGUUUAUCUCUGGUUCCAGGCAGAGCCUCCCUCCUUCCCCACAUAGAGGGCCAUCCUAGACAGGAGGGAUGAUUAGGGGAUAGAUGAUGGAUUUUCUUCUAAGUGCUCCCUUCAAUUCUAGAGGAGAGCUGGGGGCGAGGACCCGGCCUCUCUGAUGUAGGAUUAGGAUCCGGCAGCCUCUUGCCCUUCCCAGCGGAGCCCAAAGCACGUGCUCCUUCAGUCUGCGGUCUCAGUGCCGCCUCGUUCCUGCCACCUCUCUCUGCCUUCCCCCUUCGCACGCACCACGCUGUAUAAAUAUUUACACCCCCGGGCUGGCAGGAAUCUUUCUCCAGCUGCUUCCCUGGUCUCUGGGAGAGCUUGUUCUCUUACUCAACAGCUGCAGCAGAUCUGGUUGCCUUUGGUCAGACAAGGGCAGGCCCUGGUUUGGGGGCCUGCGGUCCCCCUCUGGGGUGGAGGGUGCAGUUGGCAGGAGAAACUCAACUCUAAAGAGGUCACGGGGUGAUGGCAAAGACCCAUGCUCUCCUCUGCUGGCUGCCUGUGCGGCGACCCUCCGAGAGUUGUCUGAUCCCUGCUCCGGCUGGGACGGUGGGUCCUGCUUCUGAAAGGGACAGCUCCUCAGGGUGGGGUCUGCGCCUCUCUGGGCUGGGUUUUGCUGCAUAGGGCUGGAGGAUACUUUCAAAGCAAGCUGGCUGGUGCUAGGACAAAAUAGGAACUUAGUGUACCCACGGGCACUUUACAGUUUACAAGUAUGUGCUAUACCCUCGAUCCUCCCUGAAGCAGAUCCCCCGGUUUAGAGCUGGAGAAUCUUCAUAUUGGGCUUCUUCUCCCCAGCUCCUGCCCCGGGCCAUCCUCCCCCCCACCAACCUACCCGGGGGCUGGGGAGUGGAGAGGAUAGAUGCCUCUUUCCCCACCUUCCUUGGCGACCCAGGAAGUGGGAGUUUGCCAAAGAAUCAAGCUGCCAUUUGUUGGGUUCCCACCGGCCAGGCACUGUGUGAGGUGCUUCCCCAUAUUCUCAUGCAAUUAUUCAAGUCUUAAGCCCAGCAGAUUUUUUAGCUUCCUUGUGUGUGUUUCCUGUUCCUGCCCUCAAGACAGCUGUGGCCGCGUAGCAGUGAGCUCCCAGACACAGGGCCCUGCCUUCUCUGGUGCUUUCGGGUUCCGUGGAACCUUCAGGGGCCAGCUGGUAGACACUAGUCUCACCUAACCUGCAGUGGGUGCAGGUCACCUGCUGCUGCCUCCUCUCCCGUGCCUCAGUUUCUCCCAUGUCUGUGGGAGGUAAUUAACCUGUGCUCCAUAGAUAAUUCUAAAUGCAGUGCAGGGACAGGGUGGUGUCAUUUAACUCCUUUUUCUGUGUGGGGGUGUUGUGACAGAAGAGAGUGUUCAGGUAUCAGGUACUAUGAGGCUUGUGUGUUUGGUGCUUGGGAAGCCUGAGGAGAAGGAAGACAGGGAUAAAAAGGCCUGGAUUUCACCAGGUAGUGGAGCCACUGGGGGUGCAAAUGGGUGGGGGGGUCCUGAUGGGGGCCCGGGACAGAGGCCCUAGUCUCUUCCUACACUCAUACUUGUGCGAGAAAGUAGACACGUAGAUUCAAUCUGUCUCUCUCUCUGAGCUCAGACUCUUUCUGGGCCUGGGAGGAAGGCUGCUGUCAAAAAGUAAAAGGCCUGAAAAAAAAAAAAAAAAAGUAAAAGGCCUGGCCCAGUGCUUGGUGCUCAGUGGGUAGAGGGCCAUCCCAAGGUGAGGCAGGGGAGGGGUAGGCUGGGUCUGGCCUGCCAGGGAAUGUAUAGAGAGGAAGGUAGGAAACCACAGCUCAGAGACGUGCUGCUGGGAGAUAUUCCUGUUGCUGCCUGCCUCCCCACCCCCAAAAGGUAAAAGAAAACCCAAAUAAAAGUCUGACCCGGCAGAUAUUAAUACUCCAGAGCCAGGGCUGGUGUGCAAGCAGCCGCCCCCCGCUUCCCCCUUCUGUUUCUAUAAGCGGCUGAAAUAAAUUUAGUGAAACAACCCCACCCGUCUGAGGGCCUAAGAUUUCAGAACAGUGGGACUCUUUACCCUGAAAGCCCCUGUUUUUCAGAGCUGAGAGCUUUUUGUUUAAAUUCCCUUUGAGAAUGGAAUGCUCUUGAUCUAAAAUAAUUAUUUUACAGCAGUCAUCUAUUCCUCAUAGAUAAAUGCUUUGACACAGUAUGGCUUGCUAGAAAGCCGAUCUACACAUGCUGUACAGCUUAAAAUAGUCAACUCUAUGGGGCCACUGCCCGGUUGGACCCGUUUGGAUAUUUAUUGUAACAUUAUUCUUUGCGAUGCCUGUGUGUGUUCAGCUAGUCCCCUCUUUUGUCUGUCACAGGACGGUGGUUAUUGCUGGCUAAGUUGCCAAAGCAGAGAAUUACUUAUUUAGGGCCUACUGUGUGCUAGGCACUGUGCCGGUCGAGUUGAGAGCAGAAAGAGCCUGCUCCUGGAGCAGACAUGCUGGGGGGGAAGAGAGAUGUCGAAAAGUAAAAUGACUACAAAAAACUGGCAACUAAUAUCAUACUUAAUAGUGAAAGAUCGAAUGCUUUCCCUUAAGAUUGGGGUCAAGGUGAGCGUGUCCAAUCUCACCACACCUAUUUAACAUCAUAGGGGAAGUCCUAGAGAGGGCAAUAUGGCAAGAAAAGAAAUAUAAUGCAUAUGGUUGGAAAGGAAGAAGUCAAACCAUUCCUAUUCACAGACAACAUGAUUUUCUAUAGUAAAAAAAUAAAAAAACAAAACAAAGCUCAAGGAAUCUACCAAAAAACCUUCUUAAAACUAAAGUGACUUUUGUAAGAUCACAGGAUGCAAGGUCAAUACACAAAAAUCAACUGUAUUUUUAUAAACUAAUAAUGAGAAACUGAAAACUGAAAUAAAAAAUUAAAAUACAGUUGGCCCGUGAACAACACUGGCUUGAACUGCACAGGUCCACUUAUUUUUUUGCAGUAGUAAAUACUACAGUACCACGUGAUCCGAGGUUGGUUGACUCUGCAGAUGUAGAAACAUGGAUAUGAGGAACUGCUCAUAUUCCAGAGGGCCAACUAUAAGUUAUACGUGGAUUUUUGACUGUGAGGAAGGUUGGUGCCCCUGGCCCCUGCAUUGUUCAAGGCCCAACUCUAGUUCCAAAAAAAAAAGGGAAAUAUUAGGUAUAAAUCUAACAAAAUGUAUAUAAGAUCUGUGUGCUAAAAACUACAAAGCACUUAUUAAAGAAAUCAGAGAAGACCUAAAUAAAUAGACAUAUCAUGUUCACGGAUUAAAAGACACAAUAGUAAAGAAGUAAAUAUGUACUUCUUCCUGAAUUGAUCUAUGGACUUAAUGCAAUUCCAAUAAAAACCCCAGUAGGAUUUUUUUGUGGUUAUAGACAAGCUGAAUCUGAAAUUUAUAUGAAAAGGCAAAAGAACUAGAAUAGCUAAAACAAUUUUGAACAUUAAGAAUAAAGUUGGAGGAAUUAUACCACCUGAUUUUAAGACUUACUGUAAAAUUAUAAUAAUCAAGACAGUGUGGUAUUGGCGAAGGAAUGGACACACAGAUCAACAGAAGAGAAUAAAGAGACUCACACAAAUAUGGCCAACUGAAUUUUGGAUAGGUACAAAAGCAAUUCAAUAGAAAAAUGGUACUCUUUUCAAUAAACAGUGUUGGGAUUAGACUUCCAUAGGCAAAAAAAAUUUAACUUCAACCUAAACCGUGUUAUAUAAAAACUAACUCCAAAUGAAUCUAACAUAAAACUAUAGAAAAUCUUAAUGACCUAAGGUUAGGCAAGGAGUCCUUAGAUGUGUCACCAAAAGCAUGAUGCAUAAAAGAUAAAACUGAUAAGUUAGACCUCAUCAAAAUUUAAAAACUUUUGCUCUGUGAAAGAUACUUUGUUCAGAGAACGAGAAGAUAAGGUACAGACUGGAGAAAAUAUUUGCAAACCACUUAUUCAACAAGAGCCUGUAUCCAGAAUAUAUAAAGAACUCUCAAAACUCAACAGUAAGAAAACAAACAACCCAAUUAAAAAGUGGGCAAAAGACUUGAACAGACAUUUAACCAAAGAGGACAUACAGGUGGCAAAUAAGCACAUGAAAAGAGUUGUUCAAUAUCAUUACCUGUUAGACAAAUGCAAAUGAAAACCACAAUGAGAUACCACUACACACCUGUUAGAGUGGACAAAAGAAAAAAUACUGACAAUUAAAAGUGCUGCUAAGGAUUCAGAGCAACUGGAGACUCUCAUAUAUAGUUGUGGGAGAUGCAAAAUGGUAUAUCCACUCUCAAAUAAGGUUUGGCAGUUUUAAAAAAAAUAAACCUUAACAUACACUUAGCAUAUGACCGAGCAAUCCCAUUCCUACUUAUUUAAUAAGAACUUACGUUCACACAAAAAUCUAUACACAAGUGUUUACUGCAGCUCUAUUCACAAUGGCCAAAAACAGGAACUAAUCCAGUGACCCUUAACAGGUGAAUAAACAAAUGGUGGUAUACCCAUACAGUGAAAUACUGUUCCUCAAUUAAAAGGAAUGAACUAUUGAUACAUGCAACUGCAUGGAUAAAUCGCAAAGGCAUUAUGCUCUGUGAAAUCAUGUAGACUGUAUGAGUUCAGUUAUAUGGCAUUCUGGAAAAGACAAAAUGACAGUAUAGGGAACAGAUCAGUGGUUUGCCAGAGUAAGGGAUGGGAGGGUCUGACCACAAAGGGAGAGUGUAAGGGAGUUGUUUUUUUUUUUUUGGCGGGGGGUGGUGAUAGAAGUGUUCUGUUUCCUGAUUGAAGUGGUGGUUACAUAAAUCUAUUCACAUGUUUAAAUUCAUAGAACUGUACACCAAAUAAAGGCCAAUUUUACUGUUUGUUAAAUAGUUUAAAAAAAACCUCACAAAUUGAAAUAACUACUUGGAAGGAAAUGAAGAUUCC